UACGAGAGGCCCAAACGUUAUUCGGAUUUACUGGGCUUAAAGAGUUCGUAGGCGGCGCAGAAAGUAGGGUGUGAAAGCCCUCGGCUCAACCGAGGAAUUGCGCUCUAAACUACUGUGCUUGAGGAAGCUAGAGGUGAGCGGAACUGAUGGUGGAGCGGUGAAAUGCGUUGAUAUCAUCAGGAACACCGGAGGCGAAGGCGGCUCACUGGGGCUUAUCUGACGCUGAGGAACGAAAGCCAGGGGAGCAAACGGG
rnacentral:rRNA from 1 species